UACGAAGGGGGCUAGCGUUGUUCGGAAUUACUGGGCGUAAAGCGCACGUAGGCGGAUCGAUCAGUCAGGGGUGAAAUCCCAGAGCUCAACUCUGGAACUGCCUUUGAUACUGUCGGUCUAGAGUAUGGAAGAGGUGAGUGGAAUUCCGAGUGUAGAGGUGAAAAUUCGUAGAUAUUCGGAGGAACACCAGUGGCGAAGGCGGCUCACUGGUCCAUUACUGACGCUGAGGUGCGAAAAGCGUGGGGAGCAAACAGG
rnacentral:rRNA from 1 species